rnacentral:misc_RNA from 1 species
AAAGUCGUAACAAGGUCUCCGUAGGUGAACCUGCGGAGGGAUCAUUAUCGAGAGGGCGCCCGUCGCCCGUCGACUCACAAACCCAAGGUGGAAUGGACCCGUGCUUCGGCGCUCCGGCGCCGCCUCGACGCGUGAAUGGGCGUGAAGUCUGAACGGAAACACACAUGAAUCAAAACUUUCAACAAAGGAUCUCUUGGCUCUC